rnacentral:rRNA from 1 species
ACCGAGCAACGCCGCGUGCAGGAAGACGGUUUUCGGAUCGUAAACUGCUUUUCUGGGGAAGAGAAGGGACGGUACCCCAGGAAGAAGCCCCGGCUAACUACGUGC